GGCCCUACAGGUGCCCACAUUUUCAAAAGGCUGAAAUAGAGAAACUUAUUAAGGAGAUGUUGGAGAGUGGGGUUAUACAGCCUAGCAAUAGUCUACAUGGCUCUCCAGUCUUAAAGAAGAAAGAUGGGUCUUGGAGAUUUUGCAUUGAGUACAGAAGGCUUAAUGACAUUUACAGUCAAGGACAAGUUUCCCAUUCCUAUUAUUGAUGAUCUUCUAGAUGAUUUGCAUGGGGCUUCUGUCUUUUCUAAGAUUGAUUUAAAGGUAGGGUAUCAUCAAAUAAAGAUGAAUCCUUUAGAUGUGCACAAGACAGCUUUUAGAACACAUCAUGGG
rnacentral:misc_RNA from 1 species